UUAAAGGAUAAGAGUAAUCCUUUGGUCU
rnacentral:tRNA from 1 species